GACGAACGCUGGCGGCGUGCUUAACACAUGCAAGUCGAACGGAAAGGCCCUGCUUUUGUGGGGUGCUCGAGUGGCGAACGGGUGAGUAACACGUGAGUAACCUGCCCUUGACUUUGGGAUAACUUCAGGAAACUGGGGCUAAUACCGGAUAGGAGCUCCUGCUGCAUGGUGGGGGUUGGAAAGUUUCGGCGGUUGGGGAUGGACUCGCGGCUAAUCAGCUUGUUGGUGGGGUAGUGGCUUACCAAGGCUUUGACGGGUAGCCGGCCUGAGAGGGUGACCAGCCACAUUGGGACUGAGGUACGGCCCAGACUCCUACGGGAGGCAGCAGUGGGGAAUAUUGCACAAUGGGCGGAAGCCUGAUGCAGCAACGCCGCGUGCGGGAUGACGGCCUUCGGGUUGUAAACCGCUUUCGCCUGUGACGAAGCGUGAGUGACGGUAAUGGGUAAAGAAGCACCGGCUAACUACGUG
rnacentral:rRNA from 1 species